UGCAAGCAGAACAACUUCCACACGCAGCUUGUGCAGGGUUAUUGCCCUGUAGUGCCAGAGAGACCGGUAUAGCUCUGCUGCGGCCUUUAAUCUCUGAAAGAGAGAACCAUCAAAGGACCUGGAGUUUGAUCUGCAAAAGUAGCCAGCAAAGUCAAUUGUCUGCAGUCACCCUGGGAAGCCUUUGGCAGCUGGUGAAGGUGCCUGGGUACUGGGGAGGCGGGUGCUGAGCCUAGAAAAGCACUUCUCAGUGGAUUUCCUGGGAAGUCAGGGUUUGCUUUGUGUUCUGAAGCAAAAAUAAAGUUUAAUUCAGUAGUGCUGUGGA